AAUGUACCUUUUCUUGGCAGAUCCCUUUCGCUGUAUGGCAUGCUCGUUUGGGUUGGGCGUCGGCUAAGAGUGCUCGGAGCAUGGAUUAACUCUAGUCUCCUAUCAGGUGAUUGAUUAUGGAAAUGUUUCAACUUCAACCCAUAACAGGUAAUCCCUAAGCUUAGAUGGUUUGGAGCUACGAGGGACUCGGAGAUGGCCACACUACUGUUUCUAUUUCUUUUAAUUGCAAUAAGUAGCCGAUUUAUUUCUUUAUAAGUUUUAUCUUUUUAAUAUUAUUAUUUGGUUUUGGGUUGUAAUAAGGCCAUUUUAAUUAUUUUUCUGGGAUUAUUUUAUCUUAUACCCUAUAUUUUACUGAUAACAAUCCAAAAU